GACAGAGGUGCCGAGCGUUAGGCGGAAUCACUGGGCUUAAAGCGUGUGUAGGCGGGUCGUUAAGUGUCUUGUGAAAUCCCACCGCUCAACGGUGGAACCGCUGGGCAUACUGGCGAUCUUGAGCAGUCCAGGGGCGAGCGGAACAAGCGGUGGAGCGGUGAAAUGCGUAGAUAUCGGAAGGAACGCCGGUGGCGAAAGCGAGCUGCUGGAUCCCUCCUGACGCUGAGGCACGAAAGCGUGGGGAGCAAACAGG
rnacentral:rRNA from 1 species